CUCUUGAAAAGCAAUCUGGCAAUAUGAACCAAGAGCCAUGAAAAGGCUUAUGCUAUUAUAAUUAAAUGGCUGUAAUGUUGGCUGUAAAUAUGAAAUUUUCUUUCACACACCAAUGUUUUCAAGAAUGGCAUAUUCACAUGCAGUAUGUGAUGAAAGAAGCAGUAAAGGAUGCUAACAAAGCUAUUUCUUUGGACAAUCUGAACCUGACGGAGUCUUACUCUGUCGCCCAGGCAGGAGUGCAAUGGCACAAUCUUGGCUCACCACAACCUCCGCCUCCUGGGUUCAAGUGACUCUCCUGCCUGGCCAUAGAAGCAAACACAAACAUAGAGGAAUUGGCUUUGGGCAGAUGGAAGGACCUCAGAGAAAAGAAACAAAGGAAAGAAAACUGGAUGGAUAAAGGUACAAAGAAAUUUGGAGUAGAGCUGAAUUGCAUCCCCCUCAAAUUCAUAUGUUAAAAUUCUGAUCCUCAAUACCUCAGAAUGUGACUGUUUCUGAAGACAGGGCCUUUAAAGAUGUAAUUAAGGUAAAAAAGUCAUAUCGGUGGGCCCUAAUACAACAUUAAGGAUGUCCCUAUAAGAAGAGGAGAUUAGAACACAGGCAUGCACAGAGAGAUGACAUGUGGAGACACAAGGAAAAAUGACCAUCUCGUCAAGGUGAAAAGCCUUUUGAAGAAACCAACCCUGCCAAAGGUUAAAAUUCCCUGUGGAAUUUUAAGCUUCACAGAUAUGAGGAAGUAAAUUUCUGUUGCUUAAACUGC
rnacentral:lncRNA from 1 species